CCUACGGGUGGCUGCAGUGGGGAAUAUUGGACAAUGGGCGAAAGCCUGAUCCAGCCAUGCCGCGUGUGUGAAGAAGGCCUUCGGGUUGUAAAGCACUUUCAGUGGGGAAGAAAGCCUUGGGGCUAAUACCCUCGAGGAAGGACAUCACCCACAGAAGAAGCACCGGCUAACUCCGUGCCAGCAGCCGCGGUAAUACGGAGGGUGCGAGCGUUAAUCGGAAUUACUGGGCGUAAAGCGCGCGUAGGCGGUCUGAUAAGCCGGUUGUGAAAGCCCCGGGCUCAACCUGGGAACGGCAUCCGGAACUGUCAGGCUAGAGUGCAGGAGAGGAAGGUAGAAUUCCCGGUGUAGCAGUGAAAUGCGUAGAGAUCGGGAGGAAUACCAGUGGCGAAGGCGGCCUUCUGGACUGACACUGACGCUGAGGUGCGAAAGCGUGGGUAGCAAACAGGAUUAGAUACCCCAGUAGUC
rnacentral:rRNA from 1 species